rnacentral:lncRNA from 1 species
CAAAAAUACGGUGUUUCUAUGCUAAACGGUUUUGCUUAUCAAGUGUAAUAUUGGGAUAUAAACUCAAAAUGGAACAGAUUUCAACACUAUAUCUGACAAGCGUAUAUCAGAAUCCAUAGAAGCUGAGACGAGAUAGUCCAGAGUCCCGUAACUACUCAGCUCUGAGACCACCAUCCGCUGGGGGACGGGACAAAGCCCGAAUGUCCACCUUCCCACAAUUCCCAACCAAUGUGACUCCAAGACUGAGCUCAUUCCUCUCAGAUGAAGAGACCUUCAAAGGGAGUCCGCUGCUCUUUGUUCACUUCAAUUAUCAUUAAUUCAUGAAUUAAAACAGCCGGCUUCUCCAUGGUGAUGAAUAAACGUAGAAAAGGGAAAGUGUUUUAGUUUCCCCGCGUGCUACUUCUCUUGUGUUGAAG